GGGCCUUAGCUCAGUUGGUAGAGCACCGCCUUUGCAAGGCGGGGGUCAGGGGUUCGAACUUUAUCUG
rnacentral:tRNA from 1 species